UAGGGAAUCUUCCACAAUGGACGCAAGUCUGAUGGAGCAACGCCGCGUGAGUGAAGAAGGUUUUCGGACCGUAAAGCUCUGUUGUUGGUGAAGAAGGAUAGAGGUAGUAACUGGCCUUUAUUUGACGGUAAUCAACCAGAAAGUCACGGCUAACUACGUGCCAGCAGCCGCGGUAAUACGUAGGUGGCAAGCGUUGUCCGGAUUUAUUGGGCGUAAAGCGAGCGCAGGCGGAAGAAUAAGUCUGAUGUGAAAGCCCUCGGCUUAACCGAGGAAUUGCAUCGGAAACUGUUUUCUUGAGUGCAGAAGAGGAGAGUAGAACUCCAUGUGUAGCGGUGGAAUGCGUAGAUAUAUGGAAGAAUACCAGUGGCGAAGGCGGCUCUCUGGUCUGCAACUGACGCUGAGGCUCGAAAGCAUGGGUAGCGAACAGGAUUAGAUACCCUGGUAGUCCAUGCCGUAAAACGAUGAGUGCUAAG
rnacentral:rRNA from 1 species